rnacentral:rRNA from 1 species
GACAGAGGGUGCAAACGUUGUUCGGAAUUACUGGGCGUAAAGCGCGUGUAGGUGGCGAGGCAAGUCGGGUGUGAAAGCCCCGGGCUCAACCUGGGAAUUGCAUUCGAGACUGCGUAGCUAGGGUGCGGAAGAGGGAAGCGGAAUUUCCGGUGUAGCGGUGAAAUGCGUAGAUAUCGGAAGGAACAUCAGUGGCGAAAGCGGCUUCCUGGUCCAGCACCGACGUUCAGGCACGAAAGCGUGGGGAGCAAACAGG